UUGUCUGCCAUGUUCUUCUGCCAAGACUAUAGUGCAUUCAUUAUUUCUCAAUUCACGAAUUCUCUCUUCCAAAAGAAAGGGGAAUGAAUAGAAGGUUAUCUCUUCCAAUUUUCAUUACUUCUCAAUUCAUGAACUGGAAUUUCAGAGCCUUAAACAGCUGCACAUUUUCGGACCACACAAACCCAGAUUCAUAUUGGGUAAAGCAUCUCCAUUUACUUUCACAAAACCACAAGAAGUUUUCAGUAACAAGAAACAAACAUCACACACCAUCUACUCAAGGUUGGCUGGCCGGUGCUGACGGGACGGAGCUGAGGCUAGCGAUAAAUUUCUAUGUUAGACUUCCGCUGUAGCAAUUACUCAUAUUAGUCUUUUGUUUUUCCAACUUAAGAUCUUCAUGUUAAAUUUCAAAUGAUAUACCUGACCGAGCUUAGACUCUUCACUACUAAAUUUAUGCCAAUGAAUGUCGGUUGUCAGAAGCAUGAAACAAAACUUGUGAUCCAAAGGGGCAUAGCCCGACUUUCUAUCCUAUUUCGGGUUUUUACAAGGUUGUUCCUUGUUUAUUUCUA